rnacentral:rRNA from 1 species
UACGGAGGGAGCAAGCGUUACUCGGAAUUACUGGGCGUAAAGGGCGCGUAGGCGAUUUUGUAAGUCUUGUGUGAAAGCCCAAAGCCUAACUUUGGAAGUGCACAAGAUACUGCGAGAAUUGAGUUCCGGAGAGGAAGAUGGAAUUCCCGGUGUAGCGGUGAAAUGCGUAGAUAUCAGGAAGAACACCCGUGGCGAAGGCGGCUCUCUGGGACGGUACUGACGCUGAGACGCGAAAGCGUGGGGAGCGAACAGG